AUCCGAUUAUACCGGAAAGAAAAUAUGUAAUAGAUUUCAAAUAGAUUCCAAAAAUGCAUGCUGUGGCGCCCCCUACGGCCACUGACAAAACUAAGCUGGUCGAAAACUUUGCUAACUGGUUGUCGUACCAGCUAUGCUGUAACGUAAUAUUCUUACCAAAUUAGCAGCAACUUAGUCGCCACCCAAAAGUAUGACAUUGAUUGUUUUAUAUUUGCAGAGCCAAUUUGAACUGUUUUGCCAUGCUUAGGCAUAAACGCCAGAGUUCUCCCUCACUUUUACGACGUAAGUGCUUCGCAGGUGCUUUGGUCGGGUAAGAUUUUCUUGUUUCCCCCCUAUUCAUCUUUUGCCGAGACCCUUUCUGGCCAUAAACCGCUUUGGCGCGAUUCCCUCCUCUUAUUCCACCAGGUACAGUUAUUAAGUUAUUGUUCAUUCAUUUAUUUGAUUUUCAUUUUAGGUUCUCUUCCUCUCGGGAGGUACGAGGGAUGAGCUCCUGGCUGGAUGCCGCUGCAGGAGAGAACAGUGAUCGACGGCGGUUGGUCAACGUUGUAGGUCACGCCCACUGGAAAUAAUGAGCGCUGGGCUUCAUCUUGGAGACGCAGGAGUUGUGUACCCUACGCUUUGCCACAAGCCGAGUCGUAUCCAAGCCAGACAGAAUCGUAUUCCAGCAGGAAAGAAGCGCACCCCUUGCAAGAUCGGAACCUUACAGGUCAUCGUCAUCCUUUGACCUGGCCAUCGACAUGAAUGACUUUGACUACCAGGCGAGGAGCUACGCGGGCUCUAGAUUCUAAAUAUAUCUCGUUUUUGUUAUGUUAAAAGAUUGGUUUUGGGAUAUACGCGUGUAUAUACAAAAGUUUUCACUUGUUUAUUUAUUUAUGCUAAGCUAAGUUAUGAUAAAUAAAAUCAUUGAAAAAUCA